rnacentral:rRNA from 2 species
UACGGAGGAUGCAAGCGUUAUCCGGAUUCAUUGGGUUUAAAGGGUGCGCAGGCGGAUUGGUAAGUCAGGGGUGAAAUCCCACAGCUCAACUGUGGAACUGCCUUUGAUACUGUCAGUCUAGAGUAUAGUUGAAGUGGGCGGAAUGUGUCAUGUAGCGGUGAAAUGCUUAGAUAUGACACAGAACACCGAUCGCGAAGGCAGCUCGCUAAGCUAUAACUGACGCUCAUGCACGAAAGCGUGGGGAUCAAACAGG